rnacentral:rRNA from 1 species
CUUGCUUUCUGCCAGCGCACUGGGGGAUCCCAGUUCUGGCAGACAGUGAUUCAGCUCCUCCCCGUGCUACGGAUUGGCACCUCCAUCUCGGUGGGUUCCGAGUCCUCGACCCUGUUUUGGUUCGACCGCCGGCUUGGGGAUUCCCCUCUGGCCGCCCGCUUCCCGGGCUUAUUUGCCAUUGCGGCAGACCCUCGCAUUUCCGUCGAAGCGGCCCUUAUUGACUUAGGGCGCCUCGCCUUUCGGCGCUCCUUUGGCCCCCAGGAGGUUGACGCGUGGGACGCCCUUCUACAGGACAUCGCUCUUUUGCCAAUGCAGGUAGAGGGCGCCACCGACUCCAUGGCGUGGCGUCUGGAGCCCUCGGGAUGCUUCUCCACGAAGUCUCUGUAUGCUGCCAUCGCCCCUUCGCUGGCCCCUGAGCCCUUUUGCCUGAUCUGGGACAUUCGUCUCCCCCUCAAGAUCCGGAUAUUCCUCUGGCAGUGGAUCCGAGGACGUCUCCCCUCUGGGGUGGAAGUCCGCAAGCGCAAUGGCCCUGGGGACGGGAUGUGUCCCCUGUGUGCCACGGUGGAGGAUUCGAACCACAUUUUUUUCAACUGCUCCACUGCCCAGUUCCUGUGGUCGUGCUUCCGUGAAACGGUCGGCGGACAGUGGUGCAAUUCCAACUUCCCUGACCUACUCGCGGAGAUCCAUGCCUCCUCCCCACGCUACCGCCAUAUUAGAUGGUUGUGCAUUGGGAUACUUGCAUGGACGCUUUGGAAUAUUCGCAACAAGCUCGUUAUUCAGAAAGUGCCUCUGCGACGUGCGACUGACGCGAUCUUCAAAAUGUGUGGCUAUUAG